AGCAGCCGCGGUAAUUCCAGCUCCAAUAGCGUAUAUUAAAGUUGUUGCAGUUAAAAAGCUCGUAGUUGAAUUUCGGGAUCAAUGCGUCGGUCGUGCUUUCGGGUACGUACUGGUGUCAUUGGUUUCUCCUUUCUGACGAGCCGUGAUGUCAUUAAUUUGGUGUUACGGGUAGUUAGGACUGUUACUUUGAAAAAAUUAGAGUGUUUAAAGCAGGCAUUCGCUUGAAUACAUUAGCAUGGAAUAAUGAAAUAGGACGUUCGACCCUAUUUUGUUGGUUUCUAGGAUCAACGUAAUGAUUAGUAGGGAUAGUUGGGGGCAUUAGUAUUCAAUUGUCAGAGGUGAAAUUCUUGGAUUUAUUGAAGACUGACUACUGCGAAAGCAUUUGCCAAGGAUGUUUUCAUUAAUCAAGAACGAAAGUUAGGGAUCGAAGACGAUCAGAUACCGUCGUAGUCUUAACCAUAAACUAUGCCGACUAGGGAUCGGAUGAUGUUAAUUUUUAAUGUACUCAUUCGGCGUCCGU
rnacentral:rRNA from 1 species